CCUACGGGAGGCUGCAGUGAGGAAUAUUGGUCAAUGGUCGGAAGGCUGAACCAGCCAAGCCGCGUGAAGGACGAAGGUGCCAAGCCUUGUAAACUUCUUUUGUCAAGGGACAAAAUCAGGCCCGCGAGCCUGACCAAGGGUACCUUACGAAAAAGCAUCGGCUAACUCCGUGCCAGCAGCCGCGGGAAUACGGAGGGUGCAAGCCUUAUCCGGAAUCAUUGGGCGUAAAGAGUUCGUCGGCGGCAUGUAGAGUCAGGUGUCAAAGGCGCAGGCUCAACCUGUUGAUGGCACUUGAUACUGGCAAGCUGGAAUGCGGUAGAAGUAAAGGGAAUUCCCGGUGUAGCGGUGAAAUGCUUAGAUAUCAGGAGGAACUACGGUGGCGUAGGCGCUUUACUGGGCCGUAAUUGACGCUGAGGAACGAAAGCCAGGGUAGCAAAUGGGAUUAGAUACCCCUGUAGUC
rnacentral:rRNA from 1 species